rnacentral:rRNA from 1 species
UCGAGCACGCGCGUGUGGCAUAUCAAUAAGCGGAGGAAAAGAAACUAACAAGGAUUCCCUUAGUAACGGCGAGUGAAGCGGGAAGAGCUCAAAUUUGAAAUCUUCAAGGUUCUACCUUGACGAAUUGUAGUUUAAAGAAGUGUUUUCUGUUAGUGGAGUGGCAAAAGUUCUUUGGAAUAGGACAUCAUAGAGGGUGAGAAUCCCGUAUUUGGUCAUUCCUUCUAGCUUUGUGAUACACUUUCAAAGAGUCGGAUUGUUUGGGAAUGCAGUCCAAAAUGGGUGGUAAAUUUCAUCUAAAGCUAAAUAUUGGCGAGAGACCGAUAGCGAACAAGUACCGUGAGGGAAAGAUGAAAAGAACUUUGAAAAGAGAGUUAAACAGUACGUGAAAUUGUCAAAAGGGAAGCGUUUGACACCAGUGUUGUUUUUCCGAAAAUCAAUUAAGAAUGUUUUAUUUUUGAGGAGUUAUGACUUCAUCGGCUUGCUCCUUUCUUUAUGAAACUUUCUUAAUGCACUUUUCGGUUAACAAGUCAACAUCAAUUUCUUUUGUUGUAAAAGGGUAUGAGGAAGGUGGCUUUCUUUUCGGAGAAAGUGUUUAUAGCCUUGUGCCUCUGCAAUCGGAGAGAUUGAGGUCUGCAGCGUAGAUCCUUCGGGGUUAGAUACAGUUUGUGCUAAGUUAUAGCUUUUCAUAGACAACUUGUUGACUAUGUUUAGUCUUGUAGCUUACUCGCUGAUGCUAUUUUACCUACGCUUAGGAUGUUGAUGUGAUACUGCGAGCA